AAGAUACUCCUUUCAUUCGAAAAUACUUGUCAUGUAAAUGAAUGUAUCUAGAUGUAUUUUCAUUAGCUACAUUCAUUUUUAUCAAUUUAUUCGACAAAUAAUUUCGGAUGGAAGGAGUAACAC
rnacentral:pre_miRNA from 1 species